UACGUAGGGGGCAAGCGUUGUCCGGAUUCACUGGGCGUAAAGAGCUCGUAGGCGGCUUGGCAAGUCGGGUGUGAAAACUCCAGGCUCAACCUGGAGACGCCACCCGAUACUGCCAUGGCUAGAGUCCGGUAGGGGACCACGGAAUUCCUGGUGUAGCGGUGAAAUGCGCAGAUAUCAGGAGGAACACCGGUGGCGAAGGCGGUGGUCUGGGCCGGAACUGACGCUGAGGAGCGAAAGCGUGGGGAGCGAACAGG
rnacentral:rRNA from 1 species